rnacentral:rRNA from 1 species
CCUACGGGAGGCAGCAGUGGGGAAUAUUGCACAAUGGGCGAAAGCUGAUGCAGCGACGCCGCGUGAGGGAUGACGGCCUUCGGGUUGUAAACCUCUUUCAGCAGGGACGAAGCGCAAGUGACGGUACCUGCAGAAGAAGCACCGGCCAACUACGUGCCAGCAGCCGCGGUAAUACGUAGGGUGCGAGCGUUGUCCGGAAUUACUGGGCGUAAAGAGCUCGUAGGCGGUUUGUCGCGUCGUCUGUGAAAACCCGCAGCUCAACUGCGGGCUUGCAGGCGAUACGGGCAGACUUGAGUACUGCAGGGGAGACUGGAAUUCCUGGUGUAGCGGUGAAAUGCGCAGAUAUCAGGAGGAACACCGGUGGCGAAGGCGGGUCUCUGGGCAGUAACUGACGCUGAGGAGCGAAAGCGUGGGUAGCGAACAGGAUUAGAUACCCUGGUAGUCCACGCCGUAAACGGUGGGCGCUAGGUGUGGGUUUCCUUCCACGGGAUCCGUGCCGUAGUAACGCAUUAAGCGCCCCGCCUGGGGAGUACGGCCGCAAGGCUAAAACUCAAAGGAAUUGACGGGG